rnacentral:piRNA from 1 species
AGAGCAACGCCACUCUGGUCUGCAAGG